AGUCGAACGGCAGCCUGGACUUCAGUCUGGUGGCGAGUGGCGAACGGAGUGAGUAAUGUAUCGGAACGUGCCUAUUGGCGGGGAUAACUACGCGAAAGCGUAGCUAAUGCCUUACGCCCUUCAGAGGAAAGCGGGGGACCUUCGGGCCUGCUAUUAAGAGCGGCCGAUAUCGGAUUAGCUAGUUGGUGGGAUAACGGCUCGCAAAGGGCGACGAUCGUAGCUGGUGGUUUGAAGGACGACCAGCCACACACCGGGACUGAGACACGGCAGACUCCUACGGGAAGGCAGCGAUGAAAUUUUGGACAAUGGGGAAACCUGAUCCAGCCAUCCCGCGUGUGCGAUGAAGGCCUUCGGGUUGUAUGCACUGGCGGAAAGAAACGGCACGGGAUAAUACCCCGUGCAACUGACGGUACCUGCAGAAUGGCACCGGCUAACUACGUGCCAGCAGCCGCGGUAAUACGUAGGGUGCAAGCGUUAAUCGAAUUACUGGGCGUAAAGCGUGCGCAGGCGGUUCGGAAAGAAAGAUGUGUGAAAUCCCGAAGCCCAACUUUGGAGACUGCAUUUUUUUAAUACUGAGCUAGAGUGUGUAGGAGGGGUGGAACUCGCGUGUAGCAGAAGUACAAAAUGCGUAGAUAUGCGGAGGAACCGCAGAUGGCGAAGGCAGCCUCCUGGGAUAACACUGACGCUCAUGCGCGAAAGCGUGGGAGGCAAACGGGAUUAGAUACCCUGGUGGUCCACGCCCUAAACGAUGUCAACUAGCUGUUGGUGCUUCGGGCCUUGGUAGCGCAGCUAACGCGUGAAGUUGACCGCCUGUAGAGUACGGUCACAAGAUUAAAACUCAAAGGAAUUGACGGGGACCCGCACAAGCGGUGGAUGAUGGAUUAAUUCGGUACAACGCGAAAAACCUUACCUACCCUUGACAUGUCUGAAUCCCGAAGAGAUUUGGGAGUGCUGCAAGAGAACCGGAACACAGGUGCUGCAUGGCUGUCGUCAGCUCGUGUCGUGAGAUGUUGGGUUAAGUCCCGCAACGAAGCGCAACCCUUGUCAUUAGUUGCUACGAAAGGAGCACUCUAAUGAGACUGCCGGUGACAAACCGGAGGAAGGUCGGGGAUGACGUCAGAGUCCUCAUGGCCCUUAUGGGUAGGGCUUCACACGUCAUACAAUGGUCGGGACAGAAGGGUCGCCAACCCGCGAGGGGAGCCAAUCCCAGGAAACCCGAUCGUAGUCCGGAUCGCAGUCUGCAACUCGACUGCGUGAUCGGAAUCGCUAGUAAUCGCGGACAGCAUGUCGCGGUGAAUACGUUCCCGGGUCUUGUACACACCGCCCGUCACACCAUGGGGUGGGUUUUGCAAGAAGUAGUUAGCCUAACCGUAAGGAGGGCGAUUACCGCAUUAGGGUCAUGACUGGGGUGAAGUCGUAACAAGGUAG
rnacentral:rRNA from 1 species